rnacentral:lncRNA from 1 species
GCGUCUCUCCGGCUCCUGGCGCGGGGCUGACUUGGGGGCUGCUGGCCCUCUUGGCCGCCGUCGCUACGCACCGAGUUCGUGUUUAAGGAGAAACUAACGAUGAAAACGGACUCGUUGACGGAGGAAAAGUUGGAAUGCAGCCUCUGGUGCUGUUUGAGCGAUCCCUCUCCCCGGGGCCUGGCCGCGCGCUGCUGUGUUCUGGAAGGGCUCAUUGUACAGUCAAGGUGGAGUCUUGAGGAUCCAUUUUCUGAGAUGGUGAUGGGAAAGAUGUUGGUUGUCAAGUGGAAUCUCAGCAGUCAUUUUCAGACAAAGUUAGAGAAAACAAGUAUGGAAGAUGCCUGAUUCUCAAAGAGUCAUCCAGUCUUGGGAUUACCGCCUACGUCCAUGGAAGUGAAAGUCCUCUUUUUCUUUGUACCACUUACUGAG